CACUAUGUCACAAUGCCUUCAUCAUUCACCUCAGUUCAUCUCACCAAGUAAGCAUUUUAUCAUCUCAUUAUCACCACAAAGAUGCAUGAUGAAAUGCAUGAAAUGAUAUAAUGUCUGGGAUUUGCUUGAAAAUAAUCACAGCUGUGGGAGGAAGUAAGAAUACAGACAAAACAACAAACAAGAUUGGGCAGGAGCUGACCGUUGUUUAAGAUGAUCACAGCUCCUGAAAAGAUACAGGGUUGAAAGAAGCAAGCAAUUUCAGCUGCUGCCCAACACAGGAGAACAAGUUUGGAGCCCAGCUAAGUUAAGUACCAUUAAUACCAAAAGUCAAUAUUCUUUCAGAGGAAGAUACUAGAAUUCAGUCUUUACACCAUAGCUCUCAAAAUGCACAGUAUAUGAGUCAAACUUACUAGAUCCGUAAUGAAACGGGGAAAUGUGACCACUAGUAAAGAGAAAAAACAGUCAACUGAAACCAAACCCAUAGUAACCCAAAUUUAGAAUAAUCAGAAGACUAUUAUAAACUUUUCAAAACAUGUUUAAGGAUUUAAGAGAAAAUAUGGUCAUAAUAAAUGAACACACAGGUAAUCUAAGCAGAGAAUAAAACAAGGGAACAACAUGGAAAAUCCAGAACUAAAAAGUAUAAUAUCUGAAAUAAAAAAUUCACUGGAUGAACUUAACAGCAGACUGGUGAUGGGUCAGUGAACCUGAAGACAAAGAGAAAUUAUCCAAUCUGCAGAAGAAAAAAAAAGAAAAAAGAAACUGCACCUCAGUGACCUCUUGGACAAUAUCAAGAAGUCUAAUGUGAAACUGGAAGAAAAGGAGAAUGGGACAGGAAAAAAGUGAUGAAAGAAAAAUAUAUCAAGCCAAGAUUCUAUAUCCAGUGAAAAUAUACUUCAAAAGAAGGACAGAAUAAAGAUAUUUGCAGAAUAAUGGAAACAAUAUUCAUCACUAGCAGACCUGUGCUAAGAGAAAUGCUACACAGAAAGUUCUUCAGGCUCAAGGGAUGUAACGUGGAAAUCUGAAUCUAAAGUAGUAAAUGUCAAGAAGGGGCAGUUUUGUCCCACAGGGGACAUCAGGAAAUGUCUGGAGGCAUUUUUGUUUGUCACAAAUGGAGAUUGCUACUGGCACCUCAAUGCUACUGGAUAAACAUCCUGUUAAACAUCCGACCAAGCACAGGACAGCCUCCCAUAACAACAACAAAAAAAUCAACCUACCCUAAAAUGUCAAUAGUGCCAAUGUUGGUAAAUCUUCAUCUAUGGGUAGGAAAGAACAACAAAAAUAUAUGAGCAAAUUGAAACCAACCCAAUAGUCCCACAGACUGUUCUUUUGGAUAAACAGUGAAAUUGAUCUUUUUUGAUCUUUCUGGUCUUAAAGCUUGAAGCUUACAUUUGUUUUAUCUCAGUUCCUUCCUCAGGAAGGGACCUUCACGGCUCUCAAAAAAAUGUGUCAAAGAACUGAAACUCACCAGAUCACCACAUCCAGACAAUGAGACUAGACUCUGGACCUCUCAUUCAUCAUGAUUGCUUCCUUGACCCUCCCUAGUUCCUAUUUUCUUACACAUUGUUACAUUUUUUUCCUUGCUAUAUAAACCGCGAGUUUUAGCCAGUCAGGGAGAUGGAUUUGAGACUGAGAUCCCAUCUCCUCAGCUGCAGCACCCGAUUAAAGCCUUCUUCCUUGGCAA